rnacentral:rRNA from 1 species
UACGAAGGGGGCUAGCGUUGUUCGGAAUUACUGGGCGUAAAGCGCACGUAGGCGGAUAUUUAAGUCGGGGGGUGAAAUCCCGGGGCUCAACCCCGGAACUGCCUUCGAUACUGGGUAUCUUGAGUUCGGAAGAGGUGAGUGGAAUUGCGAGUGUAGAGGUGAAAUUCGUAGAUAUUCGCAGGAACACCAGUGGCGAAGGCGGCUCACUGGUCCGAUACUGACGCUGAGGUGCGAAAGCGUGGGGAGCAAACAGG